GAUGAACGCUGGCGGCGUGCCUAAUACAUGCAAGUCGAGCGAACAGAUGAGGAGCUUGCUCCUCUGACGUUAGCGGCGGACGGGUGAGUAACACGUAGAUAACCUACCUCUAUGACUGGGAUAACUUCGGGAAACCGGAGUUAAUACCGGAUAAUCUAUCGAACCGCAUGGUUCUGUAGUGAAAGAUGGUUUUUCUGUGACUUAUAGACGGAUCCGCGCCGCAUUAGCUAGUUGGUAAGGUAACGGCUUACCAAGGCAACGACGCGUAGCCGACGUGAGAGACGGAUAGCCCACACUGGAACGGAGACACGGACCAGACGCCUGCGGGAGGCAGCAGUAGGGAAUCGGCCGCAAUGGGCGAAAGCUUGACGGAGCAACGGCGCGUGAGUGAUGAAGGUCUUCGGAUCGUAAAACUCUGUUAUUAGGUAAAAACAAAUGUGUAAGUAACUAUGCACGUCUUGACGGUACCUAAUCAGGAAGCCACGGCUAACUACGUG
rnacentral:rRNA from 1 species